GUGAAUACGAUGCUCUGAUACACUGGUUCUAACUGGCUAAAACUGUUAAAUAGCCACAAGCUUUUAGUUAUUCUGGUACAUCAGGUCCUGGAUGCACUAACUCAAUUCUCUUUCCUUUCCUCAUCAGCAGAUGGUGACAUUAAAGAUAUACUGCUCAAAUGACUUUUAACAAAACUCUGGAUUACUGCCUUCCUAUUCAGAUUGCUGGCAUGUCUUUUGCUUAGUUUGUCUGUUUCUUUGUUUAUUAUCAUGGUAGGCUGGUGCUCUAGAGUCUCCAAGUCCAGAGUACUGGUGAGAAAUCAUCAUUUACCAUCAUCUCAACUGGAAACCCUUCUUGCCUAUUAAAAGUGCUCCUUGACUUUUCCUUCCUGCAAACUGCUCAGUGAAUUUCUUCCUUGUUGUCGAUUUCCUUAACUGGAAAAAUGAUUAAUUCCCAUUUGGCUUUUGUUUUGAGGGAUGUUGUUGCUAGAUUUUUGUUGUUGUUGUUGUUGUUCUAACUUUUUGGCUUUUGUCUGAACUUUCUUAUUCCUAACAAACACUUUAAUUUAAAUAUAUAUGCAAAUUUGUUUACACACUAUCCUUCUCUAUAUUUAAAUAUUUCUUAAAAUUUCAGGUGCUUAUGAUGUCCUCUGUAUUUGAGCUCUCUUAUAUACAUUGCCUCAUUUCAUCAUCCCUAAAGAUGUAGGGAGUCAGUGGAAUAAAUUACCAUCUGUUUGUAUUUUGUUUUUGUUUUUGUUUUUUUGCCUGGGUGAUCCUCCCUACCCCUUUUCAGUUGGGAGAAUCCCCUUUCAUGUGAGUUAUUACAAAGCUCUUGGUGUUUUCUUCCACUCUAGAAAACAAAGAGGUCAUUUCCCUUCCUCCCCUGCCUCCAGGGCAUAGCACCAAUGCCUCUGUAUGGAACUUUUCAUCUUGCAAAGAUACACCUAUUAUCAUGUUUGAUUUCUGGUGACUUAGUCCUCAGAUAGCUUCAAUAUGUAGCUGAAGCAUGUGGAAAUUUGCAUCAGAGGGACUAGUCAUGUUGUUCUAAUUCCUAAAACUUCCUUUUUACCUUUUCAUUUUCUUUUUUUUUUAAAGAGAGAGUGAGAGAGGGAGGGAGAGAGAGAGAGAGAGAGAGAGAGAGAGAGAGAGAGAGAGAGAAUUUUAAUAUUUAUUUUUUAGUUUUCGGCAGACACAACAUCUUUGUUUGUAUGUGGUGUUGAGGAUCGAACCCAGGCCACACGCAUGCCAGGCAAGCGUGCUACCGCUUGAGCCACAUCCCCAGCCCGUACCUUUUCAUUUUCUAAACUUAGUUCUUCAACUUCACCAUCAAUUUUGCAGGUUACUGAUAGUCUUCCAAAAGAACUUCCAAGUUCUUUUAAUGUAAGUUAUAUGUAAGUUAUCUGGAGCCAUUUCUAUUGUUUUCAGCUGAGGAAUGUGACAGAAAAUGCAACCAUGUUCUAAGUGGUUGGCAGUAGCCAACCCCUUUGGAGAAUUAUAGGGAACCUGAGACUUGUCUGACUGCCUGGAAGCUGAAGGCAUUAAACACCAGGCACGAGACUCUGAUGGUUCACAGUGUAUAAAGUGACAAAGUGACUAAUUAUAUUAUACCUCACUGUCUUGUGAAAUAACAUGCUCACUAAGAACACGAAUUGGGGGAUUACACUGAGUUCUCAAUAAAACAGGGAGUAAAGAUUAAAAAGUCAAAACUUAAAGCUUGUCUAAAUAUGACAGACUGGAGAGCUUCAACAAGGAAUAGUGAGUGCAAAUCCUUAAGUUCUUCAAAAUUGACAAAAAUCUGUCAAUUUUUGAUCAGUGUCCUAAUAGCAUUAAUUUUUGAUAGCCUAAAUGCUAUGGUUUAAAAUGUCUCUCAAAGCCCCAUGUGUUAAAAACUUGGUCCCAGGCCAAGGUGCUUUUGGGAGGUGAUGGAACCUUUAAGAGGUGGGGCCUAGUGGAAGAAAUUUAGGUCAAACAUGCCUUUGAAGGGCAUUGUGGGACUCUGGUUCCUUCCUAUUUCUCUAUUCUGCUUCCUGGAUGCCAUGAGGCAAACAGGUCUGCUUCUUCAUGUAAUGUACUGAACUACUUACUAUAGGCUCAUAGCCAGAGGUCCAAGAAACCGUGGCCUGAAUCCUCAGAUGCCAUGAACCAAAAUAAACCUUUUCACUUAUUAAAUUGAUCAUUUCUGAUAUUCUGUCACAGUAAAAGGAAGAUUAUUGCCAGGGUAGUCAAAACUACACUUAAAUUUAGUAUAGAAGAUCUUUAAUUAUACAAAUUAUAGGUCUUUCUUGAGCUCUGGAGGAGUUAAUCAUACAGAGGUGAGGCCUGUAUUUCUGCCCUUUAUGCUCUCAGAGACAUGAUGUUUAUUAUCCUGGAACUUAAGUAAUUUCUCUGGAAGGGAGACAUAUCUCUCUGGUUUUUCUGUUCAGGAAUAAAAACAAAUUAAUUCAGGGAAAAGUCACUGUCUCUAUCUUUCCAGGGCUUCUUAUUUACAAAACAUAUUCUAGGAAAGAUAGAACUGGUGGUCAAUAUCUAGAUAUCUAAAAGCUUAUAUAAGAGAUUCUUAGAGAAUUGUCUCCAAAGAAUUGUUGCUGGAUUUUUGUUGUUGUUGUUGUUGAGUUUGUUAUUGUAAGUUUUUGGCUUUUGUCUGAACUUUCUUAUUCCUAACAAACACUGUAAUGUUCACACACUAUCUUCUAUAUUUAAACUAUUUCUUAAAAUUUCAAGUGCUUGUGUUAUCCUCUGUAUUUGAGCUCUUUUAUGUACAUUGCCUCAUUUCAUCAUCUCUAAAGAUCUAGGGAGUCAGUGGAAUAAAUUACUAUCUGUAAUUAACUUACAUUAAAAGAACUUAUUGGAAGACUAUCAGUAAGCUGCAAAAUUGAUGGUGAAGUUGAAGAACUAAGUUUAGAAAAUGGAAAGGUUAAAAGGAAGUUUUAGGAAUUAGAACAAUGUGACUAGUCCCUCUGGCUUGAACUUGCAAUCCUCCUGCCUUAGCUUCCAGAGCUGCUUGGAUUACAGGCAUGCCCCACCACACCCUGCCAAUUUGUUUGUUUAUUUUUAAAGAGAGAGAGAGAGAGAA
rnacentral:lncRNA from 1 species